rnacentral:rRNA from 1 species
CAGCAGCCGCGGGAAUACAGAGGGUGCGAGCGUUAAUCGGAUUUACUGGGCGUAAAGCGUGCGUAGGCGGCUAAUUGAGUCGGAUGUGAAAUCCCCGAGCUUAACUUGGGAAUUGCAUUCGAUACUGGUUAGCUAGAGUGUGGGAGAGGAUGGUAGAAUUCCAGGUGUAGCGGUGAAAUGCGUAGAGAUCUGGAGGAAUACCGAUGGCGAAGGCAGCCAUCUGGCCUAACACUGACGCUGAGGUACGAAAGCAUGGGGAGCAAACAGGAUUAGAGACCCGCGUAGUCCCUGUCUCUUAUAA